AUGGUUGGACGAAAUAUUAACUGUUUCAUUUAAAUUUUUUAUAGAAUUUUAUUUUUUAGUCAAAAAGCUAAAAUUUAUUUAAAAGACGAGCAGACCCUAUAAAUCUUUAUAUUUUAUUUAUUUUAAUUAUAAAGAUUAAUUUAAUUUUAAUAAAUUAAAAUAUUUUAUUGGGGUGAUAUUAAAAUUUAAAAAACUUUUAAUUUUUAAAAACAUUAAUUUAUGAAUAAUUGAUCCAUUAAUAAUGAUUAAAAAAUUAAGUUACUUUAGGGAUAACAGCGUAAUUUUUGUAGAGAGUUCAUAUCGAUAAAAAAGAUCGCGACCUCGAUGUUGGAUUAAGAUAUAAUUUUGGGCGUAGCCGUUCAAAUUUUAAGUCUGUUCGACUUUUAAAUUCUUACAUGAUCUGAGUUCAAACCGGUGUAAGCCAGGUUGGUUUCUAUCUUUAAAAAAUUAUAAUAUUUUAGUACGAAAGGACCAAAUAUUAAAAUAAUUAUAUUUUAAAAUAUGAAUAUUAUUAAUAU
rnacentral:rRNA from 1 species